UACGAAGGGGGGCAAGCGUUGUUCGGAAUUACUGGGCGUAAAGGGCGCGUAGGCGGCCGAUCAAGUCAGGCGUGAAAUUCCCGGGCUCAACCUGGGGGCUGCGCUUGAUACUGAUUGGCUUGAAUGCGGGAGAGGAUAGUGGAAUUCCCAGUGUAGAGGUGAAAUUCGUAGAUAUUGGGAAGAACACCGGUGGCGAAGGCGGGUCUCUGGGCAAUAACUGACGCUGAGGAGCGAAAGCGUGGGGAGCGAACAGG
rnacentral:rRNA from 1 species